UAUUUUUGGCUAGAAUUAGAGGAAGCAAGAUGUUGACAUUUUCUAUUGAUAAAAGAAGUUUUGGUAAGUCGGAGAAUAGAUUUGGCACGAUUCCGGGCUGAAAUGUAAAGGUCAAAGCUAGCGGGUGUUCGAAGGCUCUGGAACCUUUUGUGAGGCGGGAGUAACUAUGACUCUCUUGGGGUAGCCGAGCACGCUCAGCCCCCUUGACCCUCGUAAGGCGCGCCCCAGCUUGCACGCAGCAUAGUCUCCCUGGCCUCUUGGUGCCAAGGCCCGCAGGAAAGCUGUAUGCCCCGCAGGACUAAGACACACAAACGUUCCUGCCGAGCGCUGCAGACCAUAUCGAAGCGACGAGAGUCAAGGCAGCGCAGGUUCAAAUGGCGGGAGUGUCCUGGAACUGUUAACGGAGCGCACAGUGCGUGCCCGAGCUUAAGCCUCGUCGCCUGCCCGAAUCACAGACUGGAUUAGGAGAGUAGGGCUCCGCCCCCGUGGAGAAGGCGUGCGGGUCCGCUAACGUUCCUGCGGGAAUGGGAGGGGAGUAAGUAUUGCGGAUCGUACCGCCCUCGGUCCCACUUGUGAAAGAAGGUUUGACUUAUGCUUGCGGUAAGGCGAGUAAAGGGGCCCGCAGGGGUCGAGAGUCCCGUGGGCCAGCUCGCCUGGGUGGCGCGGGCUGGCCAAAACACAUAGUUACUUCUGGUGACUGGCCUCCCCGUGGUCCCGCUGGACACACUGCGCAGGGGGUGACCCGCCCCCCCUGGCCCGAGAGGGCAACGCAGUGUGACUAAACAGUCACUGGUUUAACCGCGCAAGCGGAUGCGCCAGGUUUUAUUGCCUCCCUGGUUGUCCUUCCCGCCCACAUCCAGGGCGGGAGGGGCCUGGCGUCUUUCCCGGCGUUGUGGGCUUGCGGGCUCACGCCGGGCGUAUAGGGUAGCACCCUGGGGUGCCUGCCCGGGCGUUCGGGUUGAGAUGGGUAUACGAGUCUCUCUCCGGGGCCCCUGAAGCCUCGGGGAGGGCUCUGGCCCGUCUCCUGAUUAGACCCGGGUGGUAAAGUCCGUGGUGCUCGUAGCCGUCGAGGUUACCUUAUGGUAGCUACGAAGUAUUAAAGCCGCGGACGCGCACCUAAGAACAGCACAAGAGUGUCGGCCUUCCUGGUUUGUAAUCUGGAUCCGUAAAAAGUUUCUUGCGGCAGUGCUGGGUCUGCGAUAAAGCCUACGUGGUUAACACGAUGGUGCAGACUUGGGCGCGAAGCUGUCGCAAAUACCUGGGCUUUUCUGGGUUGGGUCCAGGCUCCGCUGCUGUGAGUGGCCAGGCAGGGGAGCAUUAGCUGCUGCCUGUGAAAACGGGGCUAGGCACCCCAGCAAUGGGUUAGCGGCUGAGGCUGUCGCGCCUAAUUGCCGAACCCCAAGUAACAGACCCCCCGUGGUGCAACAGGACUGCGUUAAGCCGGGUGGUGAUUGACGCGAGUGCUAGCCGUGACGACGCUGUUCGUUUCCUUUUCUCAGCGCCCGGAGCACAUUCAAUCGCGCGCACUUCGCCACCCGGUGCGGACUGACUGCUUUAAGCCACGGGGCGUGCCAUAUUAUGAGUAUGACUAAAAGCAUACAUGCAGUACUCUGCCGUUGCCUUUAUGGCAGGCCAUGAGCGAAAAGCUCAUAGCCUGCUUUUUAGCAUGAGGAGUAGAGAAAGAACGUGGAAUGUAUGCCUCCCUUCCAGAGACAAUUACCUCUGUGAUGCGCUGGGCACACACCUGCCGAGCCAGAGAGAAAAUAAUUGUAUUGGUUGGGCUCAUUUACUGUUUCCGGUCAUCCCUGUUAACAAGUGGCAGUUGUUUGCGUGCGGCGGUGAUUCGUAGGUCAAAGAGAAAGUUUUUGUGUGAUGGAGUUUUCUUUAUUGCUACUGAUCGGAGUCUGAAAUGCAUGCUUGUGGCUUCGGUUCUCGGCCUGGAUUGUGUUCCUGGUUCCAAUAAUGGGUGGCAAUUCGCGUUCUUGAAGACCCAAGGGAAAAGGCACAACAGCGGCCUUUCUUUUCUUUUCUUUUUCGCAUUAUAACACUUCUACUUUCCUUUUCUUGACAGGGUUUUUUUUUCUUUGUGUUGUUAGCGGAGACUCGUGUGUUGCAGGGCGCCUCGACACUGUACCCAUUGGACCCUGGUCUUCCCCGUUGAAAAGUGAUUGCUCAUUAAAGAAAAAAUAAUGUUAGGUGCUAUUUACCAAGAUACGCUUGUCCAUUAAAGAAAAAUAAUGUUACGUGUUAUUUACCAAAAGAUACGCUUGUCCAUUAAAGAAAAAAAUAAUGUUACGUGUUAUUUACCAAAAGAUACGCUUGUCCAUUAAAGAAAAAAAUAAUGUUACGUGUUAUUUACCAAAAGAUACGCUUGUCCAUUAAAGAAAAAAAUAAUGUUACGUGUUAUUUACCAAAAGAUACGCUUGUCCAUUAAAGAAAAAAUAAUGUUACGUGUUAUUUACCAAAAGAUACGCUUGUCCAUUAAAGAAAAAAAUAAUCUUACGUGUUAUUUACCAAAAGAUACGCUUGUCCUUUA